UACGUAGGGUGCAAGCGUUGUCCGGAAUUAUUGGGCGUAAAGAGCUCGUAGGCGGUCUGUCGCGUCGGCUGUGAAAACUCGGGGCUCAACCCCGAGCCUGCAGUCGAUACGGGCAGACUAGAGUGCGGUAGGGGAGACUGGAAUUCCUGGUGUAGCGGUGAAAUGCGCAGAUAUCAGGAGGAAUACCGGUGGCGAAGGCGGCAUCCUGGACCGGCAUUGACGCUGAGUGAGCGAAAGCCAGGGGAGCAAAUGGG
rnacentral:rRNA from 1 species